rnacentral:rRNA from 1 species
AGCCGCCGCGGUAAUACCAGCACCCCGAGUGGUCGGGACGUUUAUUGGGCCUAAAGCAUCCGUAGCCGGUUCUACAAGUCUUCCGUUAAAUCCACCUGCUCAACAGAUGGGCUGCGGAAGAUACUAUGGAGCUAGGAGGCGGGAGAGGCAAGCGGUACCCGAUGGGUAGGGGUAAAAUCCGUUGAUCCAUUGAAGACCACCAGUGGCGAAGGCGGCUUGCCAGAACGCGCUCGACGGUGAGGGAUGAAAGCUGGGGGAGCAAACCGGAUUAGAUACCCGGGUAGUCCCAGCUGUAAACGAUGCAGACUCGGUGAUGAGUUGGCUUUAUGCCAACUCAGUGCCGCAGGGAAGCCGUUAAGUUUGCCGCCUGGGGAGUACGGUCGCAAGACUGAAACUUAA